UACAGAGGUCCCAAGCGUUGCUCGGAAUCACUGGGCGUAAAGGGUGCGUAGGCGGGUCUUUAAGUCAGGGGUGAAAUCCUGGAGCUCAACUCCAGAACUGCCUUUGAUACUGAGGAUCUUGAGUCCGGGAGAGGUGAGUGGAACUGCGAGUGUAGAGGUGAAAUUCGUAGAUAUUCGCAAGAACACCAGUGGCGAAGGCGGCUCACUGGCCCGGUACUGACGCUGAGGCGCGAAAGCGUGGGGAGCAAACAGG
rnacentral:rRNA from 1 species